CCUACGGGAGGCAGCAGUGAGGAAUAUUGGUCAAUGGGCGCGAGCCUGAACCAGCCAAGUAGCGUGAAGGAUGACUGCCCUACGGGUUGUAAACUUCUUUUAUAAAGGAAUAAAGUGAGGCACGUGUGCCUUUUUGUCUGUACUUUAUGUAUAAGGAUCGGCUAACUCCGUGCCAUCAGCCGCGGUAAUACGGAGGAUCCGAGCGUUGUCCGGAUUGAUUGGGUUUAAAGGGAGGGUAGCAGGGUUGUUAAGUCAGUUGUGAAAGUUUGCGGCUCAACCGUAAAAGUGCAAUGGAUACUGGCAGUCUUGAGUGCAGAUGAGGUAGGCGGAAUUCGUGGUGUAGCGGUGAAAUGCGUAGAUA
rnacentral:rRNA from 1 species